UCAGACUUACUUAAUGGCAUUGAUAUUUAUACCUCUAGAAAUUCAUCUGUGCUACCUGUCCAAGUCUGUGUGAACUCAUGUCUGUUAACAACAAUCCACAUACUGAUCUUGGUGUUUCCUCAUUCUACUCUUAGAAUAGUUUUAAGUUUUUCUUUGAAGUUCCGUGACUUGUCAUAAAAAAAACAAAAAACAAAAAACAACAAACGAACAAAAAAACAGUCAACAUUAAAUUUGCCUCUCAUCAGUCACCAAAUAUCUCUUCAAAUCUUGCUAACUUUACAUUAACCCUUAAUAUAUACUUUUAAAGACAAUAAUAAUACAAAAUUCCACACUGAUUUUCUGUUCACUUUCUAUAAAAUUCAUGGACUAUGAAAAAGAACUCUUAACUCUUGCUUAUUUUGUCAAAUGAUGUUUCUAUACUUAAUUCCUGUUGAAACGAUCUUUUCUGACAGAAGGAUCAUUUCUGGAUUGACAUAGAGCUGGGAUUUUUGUUUUCAAAAGAAGAUUAAAACAUGACCUAAAGAAAGCCAUUUCCCUGGCAGUACUGAAUACUGAUUGGAGUAGAGAUAAAUGUGUGAAUAUAUUUACAUACAGGUUCAAAAUACAAGCCUAAAUGUGAUGAAAAGGAAAAACAAUGCUGCACUGACAUUCGAGAAGGUUCCUUUCAACAGUUUUCCUAUUUUUCCUUUAUAAAGACAAGUCAGUAACUAAAAGGGAUGAAUACUGGAAUUUUUAGACAUAUUUCCAUGAAACAGAAGUCAAGUCCAAACGCAGGUGCUUGAAGAUAAAAGAAGAAUGACAUUUGAGAAGAAAAAGAAAAGAAAAAUCAAGAUUAAAAAUGCCAUUGCUGAAUCUGACAUCACUUGCAAAUUGAAUCCUGGGCACAUGUGAAUUAAUAAGAUCCGAUGAGACCUGACAGACUUUCACCAAUAGCAGAAUAUACACAUAUUGCUGUUAGUGUUGCUGCAG
rnacentral:lncRNA from 1 species